CUCCAUCUGUCCGGGUUUAAUAUUUAAAGAAUGUUUGAGAGUUUGGUUCUCCCUAGAGAUCAGGAUCAGUGAAUCCUCCUCUUCCUGCUCAGCAUAGCAGCACAAACACAGGGAUCUAAUCCAGCUCAGAUUUUGUACACUUUCUUAUCUCUACACAGUGGCAUAAAACCAACAGUCCGACACACAAUGUAUGUGAAUUCUGAGAGUACGUCCUAUUCACUUACCUUUCUGGGAAAGAAAGUGGGCAGACAUCAUUCUGUGGCCCCCGCAGGCAAACAGCGUGCCUGGGAGACAGCAAAUCAACCUCCCCACCCUGAGGACCCUGCAGUGUCCUCACAUGCCAAUCGUGUCCCAGCGACAGUUCAGGUCCUGGGGCAUUUACCAGGCAGCGUGCCAGAGCUGAAGGAAGACACCUCAUGUCCAAUAAUUCACAGCAGGCCACGAGGUCAGGAUGAGGGUAACACAGCAGGUUAGACCCCUCCCACAUACGAACACUGUGGUGUGUACCAUCCAUCCUGAGAGGUAAAGUGGGUUAACCCACAUAUAGGUCAUUUGAGCUACAUAAAAUAUCACCUGAUAUUAAAUGGUCACA